AUGUAUUUUAGGCUUGGCAUUGGGUUAUGUUUACUCAACUGUAUUUUCAAUUUAAUAAUUAAGUUAAUGCUCGAUAGACAAUAUUUUGGAUAAUUAUAGACAAAAUGUGUUAAAUCUAAUCGAAGAAUUACAUAAUACUUUGGACAUGAAGGAAUUGAGUGGUAAUCAAAAUGAAUAAACUCGUGUACUGCCAAAUUAGAACGAAGUACCUAUAAUUGAUCACUGCAAUUAAACAAGAAAAUGUAUGUUUGACGGUUUAUUUUUUUUUUAAUUAUAUACUUACUUUAAUACAUGUGUAAAAACUAUAAAUUAAAUUGAAAUAUCUUUUUACAAUGAAUUUAUUUUCAAAUAUUCCGCAAACCGUACUUACUGAAAAUUGUAUCCGUGCAUCGAUGAGUUUUACGUCCAAUAUGGAACUUCUAAUGAAAUUAUAUUUUUUUAACAAUAAUGAAUUCCUCUAAGUCAUUUUUUUUUUUUUCAAACGAUUUUAUACAGUUGUAAUUAAGAGUUAAGAUAAAAAUAUUUAAAACUAUUACCGUGUGCCCGUUCCCCGCUCGUUAACUCGAUAUACCUACUAUAAGAUUACGAAUUAUUAUUAUUGUGAUUAAGUAGGUGAUUUCAAAAAAAAAAAAAAAAAAAAAUGGUUUUCCUAUCCAUACGAAAACGGUUCUUCAAAGGAUAUCAGGUACUAAUACUUUGGCAACAAAUAGACAAAUAAAUGUGGUAUUUUCUAGCCUAAUGCAAUUUAGUAUUGAUAGUAAUGUAUAUAUAUUAUUAUGCAUACGUAAUAAUAUUAUACAGGUAUUAAUAAAUUGUCAUUUAUAGGUGUAUAUAUUUUAUG